rnacentral:tRNA from 1 species
GGGUCGGUAGCGAAGUGGUCAAACGCACCUGGCUGUAAACCAGGCUCCUACGGAUUCGGGGGUUCGACUCCCUCCCGGCCCACCA